rnacentral:rRNA from 1 species
UCCCCUAGUAACUGCGAGUGAAGCGGGAAAAGCUCAAAUUUAAAAUCUGGCGGCUUUGGUCGUCCGAGUUGUAUUCUAGAGAAGUGUUUUCCGCGUUGGACCGUGUAUAAGUCUCUUGGAACAGAGCGUCAUAGAGGGUGAGAAUCCCGUCUUUGACACGGACUACCAAUGCUUUGUGAUGCGCUCUCAAAGAGUCGAGUUGUUUGGGAAUGCAGCUCAAAAUGGGUGGUAAAUUCCAUCUAAAGCUAAAUAUUGGCGAGAGACCGAUAGCGAACAAGUACCGUGAGGGAAAGAUGAAAAGCACUUUGGAAAGAGAGUUAAACAGUACGUGAAAUUGCUGAAAGGGAAACGCUUGAAGUCAGUCGCGUUAUCUAGAACUCAACCAGGCUUGCUUGGCGUAUUUUCUAGUUAACGGGCCAGCAUCAGUUUUGACCGCAGGAAAAAGGCCAGGGAAAUGUGGCACCUUCGGGUGUGUUAUAGUCUCUGGUCAUAUACUGUGAUUGGGACUGAGGACCGCAGCACGCGCAAGUUGUGCUUAGGAUGCUGGCGUAAUGGCUUUAAACGACCCGUCUUGAAACACGGACCAAGGAGUCUAACAAACCUGCGAGUAUUUGGGUGGUAAACCCGAGUGCGUAAUGAAAGUGAAAGUUGGGAUCCCUGUCGCGGGGAGCACCGACGCCCGGACCAGACCUUCUGUGACGGAUCUGCGGUAGAGCAUGUUUGUUGGGACCCGAAAGAUGGUGAACUAUGCCUGAAUAGGGUGAAGCCAGAGGAAACUCUGGUGGAGGCUCGUAGCGAUUCUGACGUGCAAAUCGAUCGUCAAAUUUGGGUAUAGGGGCGAAAGAC